rnacentral:rRNA from 1 species
AGCGUACACGGUGGAUGCCCUGGCAGUCAGAGGCGAUGAAGGACGUGCUAAUCUGCGAUAAGCGUCGGUAAGGUGAUAUGAACCGUUAUAACCGGCGAUUUCCGAAUGGGGAAACCCAGUGUGUUUCGACACACUAUCAUUAACUGAAUCCAUAGGUUAAUGAGGCGAACCGGGGGAACUGAAACAUCUAAGUACCCCGAGGAAAAGAAAUCAACCGAGAUUCCCCCAGUAGCGGCGAGCGAACGGGGAGCAGCCCAGAGCCUGAAUCAGUGUGUGUGUUAGUGGAAGCGUCUGGAAAGGCGCGCGAUACAGGGUGACAGCCCCGUACACAAAAAUGCACAUGCUGUGAGCUCGAUGAGUAGGGCGGGACACGUGGUAUCCUGUCUGAAUAUGGGGGGACCAUCCUCCAAGGCUAAAUACUCCUGACUGACCGAUAGUGAACCAGUACCGUGAGGGAAAGGCGAAAAGAACCCCGGCGAGGGGAGUGAAAAAGAACCUGAAACCGUGUACGUACAAGCAGUGGGAGCACAGAGCAAUCUGUGUGACUGCGUACCUUUUGUAUAAUGGGUCAGCGACUUAUAUUCUGUAGCAAGGUUAACCGAAUAGGGGAGCCGAAGGGAAACCGAGUCUUAACUGGGCGUUAAGUUGCAGGGUAUAGACCCGAAACCCGGUGAUCUAGCCAUGGGCAGGUUGAAGGUUGGGUAACACUAACUGGAGGACCGAACCGACUAAUGUUGAAAAAUUAGCGGAUGACUUGUGGCUGGGGGUGAAAGGCCAAUCAAACCGGGAGAUAGCUGGUUCUCCCCGAAAGCUAUUUAGGUAGCGCCUCGUGAAUUCAUCUCCGGGGGUAGAGCACUGUUUCGGCAAGGGGGUCAUCCCGACUUACCAACCCGAUGCAAACUGCGAAUACCGGAGAAUGUUAUCACGGGAGACACACGGCGGGUGCUAACGUCCGUCGUGAAGAGGGAAACAACCCAGACCGCCAGCUAAGGUCCCAAAGUCAUGGUUAAGUGGGAAACGAUGUGGGAAGGCCCAGACAGCCAGGAUGUUGGCUUAGAAGCAGCCAUCAUUUAAAGAAAGCGUAAUAGCUCACUGGUCGAGUCGGCCUGCGCGGAAGAUGUAACGGGGCUAAACCAUGCACCGAAGCUGCGGCAGCGACGCUUAUGCGUUGUUGGGUAGGGGAGCGUUCUGUAAGCCUGCGAAGGUGUGCUGUGAGGCAUGCUGGAGGUAUCAGAAGUGCGAAUGCUGACAUAAGUAACGAUAAAGCGGGUGAAAAGCCCGCUCGCCGGAAGACCAAGGGUUCCUGUCCAACGUUAAUCGGGGCAGGGUGAGUCGACCCCUAAGGCGAGGCCGAAAGGCGUAGUCGAUGGGAAACAGGUUAAUAUUCCUGUACUUGGUGUUACUGCGAAGGGGGGACGGAGAAGGCUAUGUUGGCCGGGCGACGGUUGUCCCGGUUUAAGCGUGUAGGCUGGUUUUCCAGGCAAAUCCGGAAAACUAAGGCUGAGGCGUGAUGACGAGGCACUACGGUGCUGAAGCAACAAAUGCCCUGCUUCCAGGAAAAGCCUCUAAGCAUCAGGUAACAUCAAAUCGUACCCCAAACCGACACAGGUGGUCAGGUAGAGAAUACCAAGGCGCUUGAGAGAACUCGGGUGAAGGAACUAGGCAAAAUGGUGCCGUAACUUCGGGAGAAGGCACGCUGAUAUGUAGGUGAAGUCCCUCGCGGAUGGAGCUGAAAUCAGUCGAAGAUACCAGCUGGCUGCAACUGUUUAUUAAAAACACAGCACUGUGCAAACACGAAAGUGGACGUAUACGGUGUGACGCCUGCCCGGUGCCGGAAGGUUAAUUGAUGGGGUCAGCGCAAGCGAAGCUCUUGAUCGAAGCCCCGGUAAACGGCGGCCGUAACUAUAACGGUCCUAAGGUAGCGAAAUUCCUUGUCGGGUAAGUUCCGACCUGCACGAAUGGCGUAAUGAUGGCCAGGCUGUCUCCACCCGAGACUCAGUGAAAUUGAACUCGCUGUGAAGAUGCAGUGUACCCGCGGCAAGACGGAAAGACCCCGUGAACCUUUACUAUAGCUUGACACUGAACAUUGAGCCUUGAUGUGUAGGAUAGGUGGGAGGCUUAGAAGUGUGGACGCCAGUCUGCAUGGAGCCGACCUUGAAAUACCACCCUUUAAUGUUUGAUGUUCUAACGUUGACCCGUAAUCCGGGUUGCGGACAGUGUCUGGUGGGUAGUUUGACUGGGGCGGUCUCCUCCUAAAGAGUAACGGAGGAGCACGAAGGUUGGCUAAUCCUGGUCGGACAUCAGGAGGUUAGUGCAAUGGCAUAAGCCAGCUUGACUGCGAGCGUGACGGCGCGAGCAGGUGCGAAAGCAGGUCAUAGUGAUCCGGUGGUUCUGAAUGGAAGGGCCAUCGCUCAACGGAUAAAAGGUACUCCGGGGAUAACAGGCUGAUACCGCCCAAGAGUUCAUAUCGACGGCGGUGUUUGGCACCUCGAUGUCGGCUCAUCACAUCCUGGGGCUGAAGUAGGUCCCAAGGGUAUGGCUGUUCGCCAUUUAAAGUGGUACGCGAGCUGGGUUUAGAACGUCGUGAGACAGUUCGGUCCCUAUCUGCCGUGGGCGCUGGAGAACUGAGGGGGGCUGCUCCUAGUACGAGAGGACCGGAGUGGACGCAUCACUGGUGUUCGGGUUGUCAUGCCAAUGGCACUGCCCGGUAGCUAAAUGCGGAAGAGAUAAGUGCUGAAAGCAUCUAAGCACGAAACUUGCCCCGAGAUGAGUUCUCCCUGACUCCUUGA